AGCAGCCGCGGUAAUUCCAGCUCCAAUAGCGUAUAUUAAAGUUGUUGCAGUUAAAAAGCUCGUAGCUGAAUUUCGGGAUCAAUAUAUCGGUCGUGCCUUGGUACGUACUGGUAUCAUUGGUUUCUCCUUUCUGACGAACCAUGAUGUCAUUAAUUUGGUGUUAUGGGAAGUUAGGACUGUUACUUUGAAAAAAUUAGAGUGUUUAAAGCAGGCUUUGGCUUGAAUACAUUAGCAUGGAAUAAUGAAAUAGGACGUUCGAACCUAUUUUGUUGAUUUCUAGGAUCAACGUAAUGAUUAAUAGGGAUAGUUGGGGGCAUUAGUAUUCAAUUGUCAGAGGUGAAAUUCUUGGAUUUAUUGAAGACUAACUACUGCGAAAGCAUUUGCCAAGGAUGUUUUCAUUAAUCAAGAACGAAANUUGGGGGCUCGAAGACGAUCAGAUACCGUCCUAGUCUCAACCAUAAACGAUGCCGACCAGGGAUCGGCGGAUGUUACUUUUAGGACUCCGCCGGCACCUUAUGAG
rnacentral:rRNA from 1 species